rnacentral:lncRNA from 1 species
GGCGGUCAUGCCAUCUGUAUAGUUAACAACUUCAAGAAACUUGGAAGGUACAAUUUUCUCCACCUCCUGCAUUUCAGUGAAUUGAAGAAACUUAAAUAUCUUUCUUUAAUUUAUUUUCUUCAAAGGCACUCAAAUCUAAUCCCAAGUAAUUAAUAUUUUUGUACUCUUACAAAUCCUUGAUGUAUGCCCUUUGACCUUGAAUAUAUAUGCUAGGAAUCGAGAUGGAGACUGUUAGGAAUCGAGCCCCAGAUUAAAAACUCCGUCAAGUUACAGUUAAUAGAUUGCACGUGAGCUCCAAGUGCAAGGUUAAAUUCAUCAUUUCAGCUCUAUUAACCCGGUAAGCGUUCAAAUCAGCCUAUAAAGCGUCCCUCCCCUAGUCUGAAAGACUAAAACCAUGAAAUCGCUAUCUACGUGUGGGUGCUGGAGUUUUUGCUGAAAAAUGGGGUUGGAGACUGAGAGGCUCUCGAAUUGAAAUCGUCGACUCAAAUCUAAAAGCUCUGAAGUUCCAACACCAAUUACAGAAAACGAUAGGCCUUCCUUCCCAUUUUAGCUCACCGAUUCCUG